rnacentral:rRNA from 1 species
AAGUCGAGGGGCAGCAUUCCAGUUUGCUUGCAAACUGGAGAUGGCGACCGGCGCACGGGUGAGUAACACGUAUCCAACCUGCCGAUAACUCGGGGAUAGCCUUUCGAAAGAAAGAUUAAUACCCGAUGGCAUAAUAGAACCGCAUGGUUUGAUUAUUAAAGAAUUUCGGUUAUCGAUGGGGAUGCGUUCCAUUAGGCAGUUGGUGGGGUAACGGCCCACCAAACCUUCGAUGGAUAGGGGUUCUGAGAGGAAGGUCCCCCACAUUGGAACUGAGACACGGUCCAAACUCCUACGGGAGGCAGCAGUGAGGAAUAUAGGUCAAUGGACGAGAGUCUGAACCAGCCAAGUAGCGUGAAGGAUGACUGCCCUAUGGGUUGUAAACUUCUUUUAUAUGGGAAUAAAGUGGUCCACGUGUGGAUUUUUGUAUGUACCAUAUGAAUAAGGAUCGGCUAACUCCGUGCCAGCAGCCGCGGUAAUACGGAGGAUCCGAGCGUUAUCCGGAUUUAUUGGGUUUAAAGGGAGCGUAGGUGGACAGUUAAGUCAGUUGUGAAAGUUUGCGGCUCAACCGUAAAAUUGCAGUUGAUACUGGCUGUCUUGAGUACAGUAGAGGUGGGCGGAAUUCGUGGUGUAGCGGUGAAAUGCUUAGAUAUCACGAAGAACUCCGAUUGCGA